GAGGGUAUAGUUCAGUGGUAGAGGCGUGCUUAGCAUGCACAAGGUCCUGGGUUCGAUCCCCAGUGCCUCCA
rnacentral:tRNA from 1 species